UUCCGAAUGGGGAAACCCAGUGUGAUUCGUCACACUAUCAUUAACUGAAUCCAUAGGUUAAUGAGGCGAACCGGGGGAACUGAAACAUCUAAGUACCCCGAGGAAAAGAAAUCAACCGAGAUUCCCCCAGUAGCGGCGAGCGAACGGGGAGGAGCCCAGAGCCUGAAUCAGCAUGUGUGUUAGUGGAAGCGUCUGGAAAGGCGCGCGAUACAGGGUGACAGCCCCGUACACAAAAGCGCAUGUGCUGUGAGCUCGAUGAGUAGGGCGGGACACGUGGUAUCCUGUCUGAAUAUGGGGGGACCAUCCUCCAAGGCUAAAUACUCCUGACUGACCGAUAGUGAACCAGUACCGUGAGGGAAAGGCGAAAAGAACCCCGGCGAGGGGAGUGAAAAAGAACCUGAAACCGUGUACGUACAAGCAGUGGGAGCACAGGUUUACCUGUGUGACUGCGUACCUUUUGUAUAAUGGGUCAGCGACUUAUAUUCUGUAGCAAGGUUAACCGAAUAGGGGAGCCGGAGGGAAACCGAGUCUUAAUUGGGCGUUAAGUUGCAGGGUAUAGACCCGAAACCCGGUGAUCUAGCCAUGGGCAGGUUGAAGGUUGGGUAACACUAACUGGAGGACCGAACCGACUAAUGUUGAAAAAUUAGCGGAUGACCUGUGGCUGGGGGUGAAAGGCCAAUCAAACCGGGAGAUAGCUGGUUCUCCCCGAAAGCUAUUUAGGUAGCGCCUCGUGAAUUCAUCUCCGGGGGUAGAGCACUGUUUCGGCUAGGGGGCCAUCCCGGCUUACCAACCCGAUGCAAACUGCGAAUACCGGAGAAUGUUAUCACGGGAGACACACGGCGGGUGCUAACGUCCGUCGUGAAGAGGGAAACAACCCAGACCGCCAGCUAAGGUCCCAAAGUCAUGGUUAAGUGGGAAACGAUGUGGGAAGGCCCAGACAGCCAGGAUGUUGGCUUAGAAGCAGCCAUCAUUUAAAGAAAGCGUAAUAGCUCACUGGUCGAGUCGGCCUGCGCGGAAGAUGUAACGGGGCUAAACCAUGCACCGAAGCUGCGGCAGCGACACUGUGUGUUGUUGGGUAGGGGAGCGUUCUGUAAGCCUGUGAAGGUGGCCUGUGAGGGUUGCUGGAGGUAUCAGAAGUGCGAAUGCUGACAUAAGUAACGAUAAAGCGGGUGAAAAGCCCGCUCGCCGGAAGACCAAGGGUUCCUGUCCAACGUUAAUCGGGGCAGGGUGAGUCGACCCCUAAGGCGAGGCCGAAAGGCGUAGUCGAUGGGAAACGGGUUAAUAUUCCCGUACUUGGUGUUACUGCGAAGGGGGGACGGAGAAGGCUAUGUUGGCCGGGCGACGGUUGUCCCGGUUUAAGCGUGUAGGUGUGUGUUCCAGGUAAAUCCGGUUCACUUUAACACUGAGGCGUGACGACGAGGCACUACGGUGCUGAAGCAACAAAUGCCCUGCUUCCAGGAAAAGCCUCUAAGCAUCAGGUAACAUCAAAUCGUACCCCAAACCGACACAGGUGGUCAGGUAGAGAAUACCAAGGCGCUUGAGAGAACUCGGGUGAAGGAACUAGGCAAAAUGGUGCCGUAACUUCGGGAGAAGGCACGCUGACACGUAGGUGAAGU
rnacentral:rRNA from 1 species